rnacentral:rRNA from 1 species
GACGAACGCUGGCGGCGUGCUUAAUACAUGCAAGUCAACUUGACUUUAGAUAGCAAUAUCGAAAAGUAGGGUGGCGCACGGGUGCGUAACGCGUAGGUAAUCUGCCUGAGGUCUGACAUAACCCGUCGAAAGCGGGCUAACAUCAGAUGAUAUAUAGUCACGACAUCGUGGAAAUAUCAAAUCUUCGGAGCCUUGGGAUGAGCCUGCGUCUGAUUAGGUAGUUUGGCGGAGUAAUAGCCCACCAAGCCUACGAUCAGUAGCUGGUCUGAGAGGAUGAUCAGCCACACUGGAACUGAGACACGGUCCAGACUCCUACGGGAGCAGCAGUAAGGAUAUUGCUCAAUGGGGGAAACCCUGAAGCAGCAACGCCGCGUGAAGG